rnacentral:rRNA from 1 species
AUUGAACGCUGGCGGCAGGCCUAACACAUGCCAGUCGAGCGGAUGAAGGGAGCUUGCUCCUGGAUUCAGCGGCGGACGGGUGAGUAAUGCCUAGGAAUCUGCCUGGUAGUGGGGGAUAACGUCCGGAAACGGGCGCUAAUACCGCAUACGUCCUGAGGGAGAAAGUGGGGGAUCUUCGGACCUCACGCUAUCAGAUGAGCCUAGGUCGGAUUAGCUAGUUGGUGGGGUAAAGGCCUACCAAGGCGACGAUCCGUAACUGGUCUGAGAGGAUGAUCAGUCACACUGGAACUGAGACACGGUCCAGACUCCUACGGGAGGCAGCAGUGGGGAAUAUUGGACAAUGGGCGAAAGCCUGAUCCAGUCAUGCCGCGUGUGUGAAGAAGGUCUUCGGAUUGUAAAGCACUUUAAGUUGGGAGGAAGGGCAGUAAGUUAAUACCUUGCUGUUUUGACGUUACCAACAGAAUAAGCACCGGCUAACUUCGUG